rnacentral:snoRNA from 1 species
ACCCUCUUAGGAUGGCACCUGGAGAGUUUCCAGUACUCUACUAGUCUCAACUACGGGAGGGAGAGUCAAGCAGUCAUUCCAUUCCUAGCUUGGCCAGCGGCUAGCGAGUGGAAGGCAAUCUGCUACAAGU